AUGGGUACAAGAAUAAUCCUUUUAUGUCAAUUCACUGAUGAGAAUCUGGGGACCAUCAAGGUAGUGAAGACAGGUGAGCUAUGAAACUAUGACAAGUACGAGUCUGUAUUAUUGAAGAAUGGCUGGGACCCUGGGGAAGAGGGACUGGACAGGACUCACCAGAAUCUCCUUCUGCUGAUAGACUGUCCCCUGAACUGAGCUGAACUACUUUGGUUUAUACACACACACCAAGAAUGUGCUGGCUGAAGUGAACCCCCAGACUUGAAUUCCAGGAAACUUUCACCACGUUUGUGAACUCAUGGUUCAGCUCUUAACAAAAACUAAGUGUCCAAACAGCUGAUGGCCUCAAGAAUCCAAUGUGAGAACACAUCCAAUUUGAAUGUAUGAAAAUUGUCAUAUCUUUCUCCAUCCCAGUGAUGUGUGAGACUUGGUGCCCAGAAAUGACCCCAUUGUUUUUGUGAUGGGUGCAAAUACCCAAGUCAAUGUGCACUAUUCGCAGAAGAUGGUGUCCAUCACCAAAAAAUAACCUAUCUGCUGCCAUCAAGUGUGCAAAACUGACCAGAACGCUUCAAGUAUGUGUAGUAAUUUAACAAAAGACCCUUCUUCGAAAACACACACUAUUCACAUAGCAUAAUUUGAACCACUUAGUAAGUCACUGUUCGGGAAUGCCGUUCUUACAAUAAGACUGUGCAGUUUUGGGAAAGCAAGGACAUACAUAUCCCAUUUGAUUACCCUAUAAAUGAAGUUGGAACAAAAAUUUUUUCAACUUGAAAAUCAAUGGAAAAAUAAACCCAUUUUCUCUGAAAAUGAAUAUAUUCAUUCUAUAUGUACAGCAUCUUCAAUAAACCUGCAACCUAAAAAUGAAAAUCAAUACUGCCUCAGAUACUAAUACCCUAAUUGAUACUAAAAAAAA